rnacentral:rRNA from 1 species
UACGAAGGGAGCAAGCGUUGUUCGGAUUUACUGGGCGUAAAGGGUGCGUAGGUGGCUAGGUAAGUUGGAUGUGAAAGCCCUGGGCUUAACUCAGGAAUUGCAUUCAAAACUCUCUAGCUAGAGUAUGGAAGAGGAUGGUGGAAUUCCCAGUGUAGAGGUGAAAUUCGUAGAUAUUGGGAAGAACACCCGUGGCGAAGGCGGCCAUCUGGUCCAUUACUGACACUGAGGCACGAAAGCGUGGGGAGCAAACAGG